UUUUUUUUCUGUUUUUUAGUUCUUCUUUGUAUUUU
rnacentral:sRNA from 1 species